rnacentral:rRNA from 1 species
GGAAAUGUGGUGUUCGGGAGGAUCCAUUAUCCCGAGAUCAUGUUGCACGUCCAAGUC